GGCUUAAUACAUGCAAGUCGAGCGGUCUCUUUCGGGAGACAGCGGCGGACGGGUUAGUAACGCGUGGGAACGUGCCCUUUAGUACGGAAUAGCCAUUGGAAACGAUGAUUAAUACCGUAUACGCCCUAUGGGGGAAAGAUUUAUCGCUAAAGGAUCGGCCCGCGUUAGAUUAGGUUGUUGGUGGGGUAAUGGCCUACCAAGCCUACGAUCUAUAGCUGGUUUGAGAGGAUGAUCAGCAACACUGGGACUGAGACACGGCCCAGACUUCUACGGAAGGCAGCAGUAGGGAAUCUUGGACAAUGGGCGAAAGCCUGAUCCAGCCAUGCCGCGUGAGUGAUGAAGGCCCUAGGGUUGUAAAACUCUUUCGCCAGGGAAGAUAAUGACGGUACCUGGUAAAGAAACCCCGGCUAACUCCGUGCCAGCAGCCGCGGUAAUACGGAGGGGGUUAGCGUUGUUCGGAAUUACUGGGCGUAAAGCGCACGUAGGCGGACUAGUCAGUCAGAGGUGAAAUCCCGAGGCUCAACCUCGGAACUGCCUUUGAUACUGCUAGUCUAGAGUUCGAGAGAGGUGAGUGGAAUUCCGAGUGUAGAGGUGAAAUUCGUAGAUAUUCGGAGGAACACCAGUGGCGAAGGCGGCUCACUGGAUCGAUACUGACGCUGAGGUGCGAAAGCGU
rnacentral:rRNA from 1 species